UUGAAGUUUAAAUUCUAAAUAUGUUAUAAAUUGAUUACAUUGGUUAUCCUUGAUGUUUAAGCACUAAAUAUGUUAUUGUAAAGUGUUUACAUUAGUUAAGUUCUGAAUAUGUUAUUGUAAUAUGUCCACAUUGGUCAUCUUCAAAAGCUUAAUUUCUGUGUCAUAAAAAAGAGAGUGUUAUUACAAAGAUGGUUUUGCUACCAAACUACAGUGAAGAACAUAAGGUUUUAUGUAACUGUGAUAUUUAUUACAGCUCCUUUUCUGGUGUUCAAAAUGUAUUCAUUCCCUCUAAUUGUAUGGGUCUUCCAACAUAUUGUUUAUGAUAAUAACCUUUUGAUUCAGGUAUUUGCCCUUCUCUUAUGCUCCAGCCACCUAUAAAAAUAGGCACACUUGUAUGCUGAUAUAUUUUCCUUAGAUGACUUCCUAUAAAAAGCUACUCAGGGAUUUAACCACAAGAACAACUAUCAUUGGCAAUAAUAACAGUUUAACUAUAUUUUUAUUCCAAAAUGCUUAUAUCCAGGUAAAAUUAUAAUAGUUGAGUUCAAUACUCCUCUUACAAUGCUAAUGUUAUUGAUCUUCUCUUCUGGGUGUUCAACAACCAAAGUUUAGAGACCAAAACUGAAGAGGUAUUUGGGCUAAGAAGGCAGCCAAUAUUUUGGCCCUGGCCCUCCAAGGUCAACAACAAUAACAAAAAGAUCCAGGACAUGAGGGAACCAUCUCCAAGAUCCUGCAUUUUUGCCCAGCUACAGAAUAACUCCAGUUUGCCCUCCGGUCACAACUGAGACUUCAGUGAUCCAGUGAUGCUGUGAUUCUCCAGGACAAGAAACAUCCUGGGAGAAUAAACAUCUGCUCAGUUCCUCAUUGUUCUUGGACUGUUAACAUCUUGUUUACCGGAGAUGUACUGAACUCUCUGCAAGCCUUUUGUUACACCUUGUUUAUCCCAAUGUGAACUACUGAACUCUCUGCAAGUCAUUUGUUACAUUUGUUUCUACCGAUGUACUGAAUUCUCUGCAAGUCAUUUGUUACGAGGUACUGAAAAAAAGGUGUGGUAAGCUGGGGGCUUUUGUCUUUGCCGCCCAGAGCAGCACUGAUCAGACCCAAAGCUCAGCUUCUUCUCAGUCUCAUUUUUCUACCUUUCCUGUAAUUCGCCGUGUGCUGCCAUGGCUCACAGGAGACCAGGACUAACUGCAGAGGUUCUGGUAACGUCCCCUUCCCCUGUUCCCUACA
rnacentral:lncRNA from 1 species